rnacentral:rRNA from 1 species
AUUGAACGCUGGCGGCAUGCCUUACACAUGCAAGUCGAACGGUAACAGAUCUUCGGAUGCUGACGAGUGGCGAACGGGUGAGUAAUACAUCGGAACGUGCCUAGUAGUGGGGGAUAACUACUCGAAAGAGUGGCUAAUACCGCAUGAGAUCUACGGAUGAGAGCAGGGGAUCGCAAGACCUUGUGCUACUAGAGCGGCCGAUGGCGGAUUAGGUAGUUGGUGGGAUAAAAGCUUACCAAGCCGACGAUCUGUAGCUGGUCUGAGGGGACGAUCAGCCACACUGGGACUGAGACACGGCCCAGACUCCUACGGGAGGCAGCAGUGGGGAAUUUUGGACAAUGGGCGCAAGCCUGAUCCAGCAAUGCCGCGUGCAGGAUGAAGGCCUUCGGGUUGUAAACUGCUUUUGUACGGAACGAAAAGCCCUGGGUUAAUACCCUGGGGUCAUGACGGUACCGUGAGAAUAAGCACCGGCUAACUACGUGCCAGCCGCCGCCGUAACAC